CCUACGGGUGGCAGCAGUGAGGAAUAUUGGUCAAUGGCCGAAAGGCUGACCCAGCCAAGUCGCGUGCGGGAAGAAUGUUCUAUGGAUUGUAAACCUCUUUUGUACGGGAGUAAAGUAACCAACGUGUGGGUGUUGGAGAGUAGCUGACGAAAACGCAUCGGCUAACUCCGUGCCAGCAGCCGCGGUAAUACGGGGGAUGCGAGCGUGAUCCGGAUUUAUUGGGUUUAAGGGGUGCGUAGGCGGUAUGCCACGUCAGCGGUAAACUCGCGGGGCUCAACUUCGCUCCGCCGUUGAAAGUGGCAGACUAGAGUGAGCGAGAAGGAGGCGGAAUGCGUGGUGUAGCGGUGAAAUGCAUAGAUAUCACGCAGAACACCGAUGGCGAAGGCAGCUUACCGGCGCCCAACUGACGCUGAAGCACGAAAGCGUGGGGAGCGAACAGGAUUAGAUACCCUUGUAGUC
rnacentral:rRNA from 1 species